UAUGUUGGCCGGGCGACGGUUGUCCCGGUUUAAGCGUGUAGGUGUGUGUUCCAGGUAAAUCCGGUUCACUUUAACACUGAGGCGUGACGACGAGGCACUACGGUGCUGAAGCAACAAAUGCCCUGCUUCCAGGAAAAGCCUCUAAGCAUCAGGUAACACGAAAUCGUACCCCAAACCGACACAGGUGGUCAGGUAGAGAAUACCAAGGCGCUUGAGAGAACUCGGGUGAAGGAACUAGGCAAAAUGGUGCCGUAACUUCGGGAGAAGGCACGCUGACACGUAGGUGAAGUGAUUUACUCAUGGAGCUGAAGUCAGUCGAAGAUACCAGCUGGCUGCAACUGUUUAUUAAAAACACAGCACUGUGCAAACACGAAAGUGGACGUAUACGGUGUGACGCCUGCCCGGUGCCGGAAGGUUAAUUGAUGGGGUCAGCGUAAGCGAAGCUCCUGAUCGAAGCCCCGGUAAACGGCGGCCGUAACUAUAACGGUCCUAAGGUAGCGAAAUUCCUUGUCGGGUAAGUUCCGACCUGCACGAAUGGCGUAAUGAUGGCCAGGCUGUCUCCACCCGAGACUCAGUGAAAUUGAACUCGCUGUGAAGAUGCAGUGUACCCGCGGCAAGACGGAAAGACCCCGUGAACCUUUACUAUAGCUUGACACUGAACAUUGAGCCUUGAUGUGUAGGAUAGGUGGGAGGCUUUGAAGUGUGGACGCCAGUCUGCAUGGAGCCGACCUUGAAAUACCACCCUUUAAUGUUUGAUGUUCUAACGUGGACCCGUAAUCCGGGUUGCGGACAGUGUCUGGUGGGUAGUUUGACUGGGGCGGUCUCCUCCUAAAGAGUAACGGAGGAGCACGAAGGUUGGCUAAUCCUGGUCGGACAUCAGGAGGUUAGUGCAAUGGCAUAAGCCAGCUUGACUGCGAGCGUGACGGCGCGAGCAGGUGCGAAAGCAGGUCAUAGUGAUCCGGUGGUUCUGAAUGGAAGGGCCAUCGCUCAACGGAUAAAAGGUACUCCGGGGAUAACAGGCUGAUACCGCCCAAGAGUUCAUAUCGACGGCGGUGUUUGGCACCUCGAUGUCGGCUCAUCACAUCCUGGGGCUGAAGUAGGUCCCAAGGGUAUGGCUGUUCGCCAUUUAAAGUGGUACGCGAGCUGGGUUUAGAACGUCGUGAGACAGUUCGGUCCCUAUCUGCCGUGGGCGCUGGAGAACUGAGGGGGGCUGCUCCUAGUACGAGAGGACCGGAGUGGACGCAUCACUGGUGUUCGGGUUGUCAUGCCAAUGGCACUGCCCGGUAGCUAAAUGCGGAAGAGAUAAGUGCUGAAAGCAUCUAAGCACGAAACUUGCCCCGA
rnacentral:rRNA from 1 species